rnacentral:rRNA from 1 species
AAUGAGAGUUUGAUCCUGGCUCAGGACGAACGCUGGCGGCGUGCCUAAUACAUGCAAGUAGAACGCUGAGGUUUGGUGUUUACACUAGACUGAUGAGUUGCGAACGGGUGAGUAACGCGUAGGUAACCUGCCUCAUAGCGGGGGAUAACUAUUGGAAACGAUAGCUAAUACCGCAUAAGAGUAAUUAACACAUGUUAGUUAUUUAAAAGGAGCAAUUGCUUCACUGUGAGAUGGACCUGCGUUGUAUUAGCUAGUUGGUGAGGUAAAGGCUCACCAAGGCGACGAUACAUAGCCGACCUGAGAGGGUGAUCGGCCACACUGGGACUGAGACACGGCCCAGACUCCUACGGGAGGCAGCAGUAGGGAAUCUUCGGCAAUGGACGGAAGUCUGACCGAGCAACGCCGCGUGAGUGAAGAAGGUUUUCGGAUCGUAAAGCUCUGUUGUUAGAGAAGAACGUUGGUAGGAGUGGAAAAUCUACCAAGUGACGGUAACUAACCAGAAAGGGACGGCUAACUACGUGCCAG